rnacentral:rRNA from 1 species
CUGGCUCAGGAUGAACGCUGGCGGCGUGCUUAACACAUGCAAGUCGAACGAUCCUUCGGGAUAGUGGCGGACGGGUGAGUAACGCGUGGGAAUCUGCCCUUAGGAGGGGGAUAACGGCUGGAAACGGCCGCUAAUACCCCAUAUGCCGAGAGGUGAAACGAAUUUCGCCUGAGGAUGAGCCCGCGUCUGAUUAGCUAGUUGGUGGGGUAAAGGCCUACCAAGGCGACGAUCAGUAGCUGGUCUGAGAGGAUGAUCAGCCACACUGGGACUGAGACACGGCCCAGACUCCUACGGGAGGCAGCAGUGGGGAAUUUUCCGCAAUGGGCGAAAGCCUGACGGAGCAACGCCGCGUGAGGGAUGAAGGCCUCUGGGCUGUAAACCUCUUUUCUCAAGGAAGAAGAACUGACGGUACUUGAGGAAUAAGCCACGGCUAAUUCCGUGCCAGCAGCCGCGGUAAUACGGGAGUGGCAAGCGUUAUCCGGAAUUAUUGGGCGUAAAGCGUCCGCAGGCGGCCUUGUAAGUCUGUUGUUAAAGCGUGGAGCUCAACUCCAUUUAAGCAAUGGAAACUACAAGGCUGGAGUGUGGUAGGGGCAGAGGGAAUUCCCGGUGUAGCGGUGAAAUGCGUAGAUAUCGGGAAGAACACCAGUGGCGAAGGCGCUCUGCUGGGCCAUAACUGACGCUCAUGGACGAAAGCCAGGGGAGCGAAAGGGAUUAGAUACCCCUGUAGUCCUGGCCGUAAACGAUGAACACUAGGUGUCGGGGGAAUCGACCCCCUCGGUGUCGUAGCCAACGCGUUAAGUGUUCCGCCUGGGGAGUACGCACGCAAGUGUGAAACUCAAAGGAAUUGACGGGGGCCCGCACAAGCGGUGGAGUAUGUGAUUUAAUUCGAUGCAACGCGAAGAACCUUACCAGGGUUUGACAUCCUGCGAAUCCCUUGGAAACGAGGGAGUGCCUUCGGGAGCGCAGUGACAGGUGGUGCAUGGCUGUCGUCAGCUCGUGUCGUGAGAUGUUGGGUUAAGUCCCGCAACGAGCGCAACCCACGACUUUAGUUGCCAGCAUUCAGUUGGGCACUCUAGAGAGACUGCCGGUGAUAAACCGGAGGAAGGUGUGGAUGACGUCAAGUCAUCAUGCCCCUUACAUCCUGGGCUACACACGUACUACAAUGCUACGGACAAAGGGCAACAAGCUCGCGAGAGUUAGCAAAUCCCAUAAACCGUGGCUCAGUUCAGAUCGUAGGCUGCAACUCGCCUACGUGAAGGAGGAAUCGCUAGUAAUCGCAGGUCAGCAUACUGCGGUGAAUACGUUCCCGGGCCUUGUACACACCGCCCGUCACACCAUGGAAGUUGGCCAUGCCCGAAGUCGUUACUCCAACCCUUGUGGAGGAGGACGCCGAAGGUGGGGCUGAUGACUGGGGUGAAGUCGGAACAAGGUA